rnacentral:rRNA from 1 species
GAUGAACGCUAGCGGCAGGCCUAACACAUGCAAGUCGAGGGGUAGAAGGAGCUUGCUCCUUUAGGCCCGGCGCACGGUUGCUUAACGCGUAUGCAAUCUCCCUUCUACAGGGUAUUACCCCAGGAAAAUUUGGAUUAAUGCCCCAUAGUAUAUAACCUUCGCAUGUUGGUUAUAUUAAAGUUCCAACGGUACAAGAUGAGCAUGCGUCCCAUUAGUUAGGUGGUAAGGUAACGGCUUACCAAGACGAUGAUGGGUAGGGGUCCUGAGAGGGAGAUCCCCCACACUGGUACUGAGACACGGACCAGACUCCUACGGGAGGCAGCAGUGAGGAAUACUGGUCAAUGGUCGCAAGACUGAACCAGCCAUGCCGCGUGCAGGAAGACGGUCCUAUGGAUUGUAAACUGCUUUUAUACAGGAAGAAACCCUACCACGGGUGGGAGCUUGACGGUACUGUAGGAAUAAGGAUCGGCUAACUCCGUG